CUCAGUGCGACCCCGCCAGUACCUCUCCCAGUGGCCCUUUCAGUGGUUCCUUGCUUUCGGAUUACAUUUCACAAGGACUGGGUUCCCGGACAGAUCUGUAUAUAUCUGACGAUUCAUAAUGAUGUCCAGGAAAAUUGUGCUUUUAUGCAUAAUAUCAAUGGUUUUGACAGUCGUAAUUUUUGACUUGCACAGAGCUACUGCGCCGUCCUUCGCGGGGCUUGGUGGCGGCGCGACUGCCUCGACGCCUGGCAUCCCCUCCUCCUCAAGGGCGCGACCUCAAGGCCCGUCCUUGAGUCCGACGCGGGAGGAAGGCGCGACUUU